ACACCUUUACGGCUGGGACACAAAAUUCGACUGUUUAGCCGUGUAUGGUUAGCUCAACAUAUUAUGUAGAUUUGUUACAAUAACAAUCGACAAUUAGUCCUUCAAGGUCCCAUUAAGGCGACACUUUCCUGCCUGAGCAAGCUAGAGUUUAACCAAAUCAAACAGAACGGGGAACUGGCAGACAGCUAGCAAAAACUAAUACACUGGACGGUGGCUGCGUUAACGUUACACCCAAGAAAGAGUAAAUAAAGAGGCGGCGCUGCACCAAGAGUUACUGAAGGAGAAGGUGAGACAACCAGCGAAGAAGAAAAUCUGUUUAUCU